rnacentral:tRNA from 1 species
GCCUGGGUGGCUCAGUCGGUUAAGCACCUGACUUGGGCUCAGGUCAUGAUCUCGCAGUUUGUGAGUUUGAGCCCCGCGUCAGGCU